rnacentral:misc_RNA from 1 species
UUCAUAAUGUAAGUUAUUCUAGCAUUUCCUAUAUUCAUAUUGGUGUUAAUGAAUCUAUACCUAGAUUCAUUAACACCAAUAUAAAUGUGGGAAAUGCUAGAAUGACUUACAUUGUAGAGG